rnacentral:rRNA from 1 species
CACGGAGUUAGCCGAUGCUUUUUCUUCAGGUACACUCAUCCAGGGACACGUCCCCGCCUUUGUUCCCUGACAAAAGAGGUUUACGAUACUCUGUACCUUCCUCCCUCACGCGGCUUGGCUGGUUCAGUCUCCCGACCAUUGACCAAUAUUCCUCACUGCUGCCUCCCGUAGGAGUCUGGUCCGUGUCUCAGUACCAGUGUGGGGGACCUUCCUCUCAGAACCCCUACGCAUCGUCGGUUAGGUGGGCCCGUUACCCCGCCUACUGCCUAGUGCGCCGCAUGCCCAUCCCUGUCCGGCCGAAGCCUUUCCUGCCUCCGGGAUGCCCCGGUGGCAUGUACGCGGGUUUACGCCCGCCUUUCGGCGGGUUGUCCCCCUGGACAGGGGCAGGUUGCAUACGUGUUACUCACCGUGCGCCGGUCGCCGGCGGAGAAGCAAGCUCCUCCCGCUCGCCCUCGACUCGCAUGUGUAAGCCUCGCCGUCUAGCGUUCAUCCUGACGCCAGGAUACCAAACUCGUUACGACGUAGACCGA